AAUCAACAAGGAACUAUCAGUAAAGUUGUAGAAUUAGUACAGGAGACGGUCGAUGACGUGUAAUACAGAGAUAUCUCAACUAAUGUUUUAUCGCUUUCUUCAACUCUGCAGAGAGCUAGAAAGAUCAGUUGACUUUACUGGGUGCAAUGGCGGAUCCAUUGGCGGGGGAUAGUUUUCCACCAAAGUUUUUACUAUUGUGUAUUUUAUUGUACUGUGCUGGUUAAUUUUUGUUGUUGUUAUUGUACUGUGUGUUUGCAGGGCCAUAUUGUAAGAUGUUUUAAAUAAAUAAAAAAUAAAUAAAAUAAAUAAAUAAAAUAAAAAUAAAUAUAUAAGAUCCAGGAAUUUGAAACUGAAGGUACCCAGGGGAAGGGGCUUUUAAAGAUAGAGGAUGUAUGCCAGGUAUGGCUGAGGGAAGGAAUCUAUGAUCAUGGCACUUCUAGAUGGCCGGAAAUGGCACUCUCAGACUUUAAUUGAAAUAUAAUUUUCUGUUUUUACUCCAUUUUUUCAUAAUUAUGAAAAGAAAAAAAAUAGGGGGAAGGGGAAUAGCCAGCUGAGUCCCCAUUAAAUCUCCCACUCGGGUGGAUCCAUCUGAGAAUAUUACUAAAUAACUGAUAUCCGAUCAAAACUCGUUCCGAAGACGUUAGGUCUAUAGCAAUAUAUAUUACGAAAGAGGAGUUGUACCCGUGGCUGGCUAAGAAGUAAAGAAAAAAAAAACAACACUGAUCAUCAUCAUUGUCAUCAUCACUGUCACAAUCACCAGCAUCAUCACCAUCGUCAUCAUCAUCAUAACUUACCAUCGAAGCAUAAGUAAAAUGAAAACCUCUCCCAGUUGAAGGCUGGCAUUGUCAAUAUAAGCUUUCCUCCUCUAUUAUAUUACUGUAUAUCUAGCGCAUGUAUAAGAUGGGCUGCGUUCAUCCAGGAGCCGACUCCUCUUUAUUUUUGCAGUAUACUGUAUUAAAUUACUGAAAUUCUGCAUUUGACUUUGUUCAGUUAAAUACGACGAUACCUAAUCAAUCAAAUGAAAUAUGUAAA